rnacentral:tRNA from 1 species
GGGGGUAUAGCUCAGUUGGUAGAGCGCUUGACUGGCAGUCAAGAGGUCAGGGGUUCGAAUCCCCUUACCUCCACCG